GAUGAACGCUAGCUACAGGCUUAACACAUGCAAGUCGCGGGGCAGCAUGGGGGUUGCUUGCAAUCCCUGAUGGCGACCGGCGCACGGGUGAGUAACGCGUAUCCAACCUGCCCUUCACCACGGGAUAACCCGGCGAAAGUCGGACUAAUACCGUAUGUUGUCCAUUGACGGCAUCCGAUUUGGACGAAAGGCUUGGCGGUGAGGGAUGGGGAUGCGUCCGAUUAGCUUGACGGCGGGGUAACGGCCCACCGUGGCGACGAUCGGUAGGGGUUCUGAGAGGAAGGUCCCCCACACUGGAACUGAGACACGGUCCAGACUCCUACGGGAGGCAGCAGUGAGGAAUAUUGGUCAAUGGGCGGAAGCCUGAACCAGCCAAGUAGCGUGCAGGAUGACGGCCCUAUGGGUUGUAAACUGCUUUUAUGCGGGGAUAAAGGGGCCCACGUGUGGAGUUUUUGCAGGUACC
rnacentral:rRNA from 1 species